ACUCCUACGGGAGGCAGCAGUAGGGAAUCUUCCACAAUGGGCGCAAGCCUGAUGGAGCAACACCGCGUGAGUGAAGAAGGGUUUCGGCUCGUAAAGCUCUGUUGUUAAAGAAGAACACGUAUGAGAGUAACUGUUCAUACGUUGACGGUAUUUAACCAGAAAGUCACGGCUAACUACGUGCCAGCAGCCGCGGUAAUACGUAGGUGGCAAGCGUUAUCCGGAUUUAUUGGGCGUAAAGAGAGUGCAGGCGGUUUUCUAAGUCUGAUGUGAAAGCCUUCGGCUUAACCGGAGAAGUGCAUCGGAAACUGGAUAACUUGAGUGCAGAAGAGGGUAGUGGAACUCCAUGUGUAGCGGUGGAAUGCGUAGAUAUAUGGAAGAACACCAGUGGCGAAGGCGGCUACCUGGUCUGCAACUGACGCUGAGACUCAAAAGCAUGGGUAGCGAACAGGAUUAGAUACCCUGGUAGGAUAGCG
rnacentral:rRNA from 1 species